CGGGCUCACUUUCAGAAGGAGCCGAGAACGGAAGAAGGUCGGAUUACCGUAACUCGAGAAGCGCAAGAGCGAGUUGCACGGCUGGCCCUCCGUUUCAAGUGACCUCCUUCAGCUGCGGAUGACCUGUGCUUAAUCAAGACCGCUUGAAUGGCAACUGAGAACUUGCUCCAAGCAAAGAGUGUUUUUAUGAAAUCGUGUUAGCUCGUGCGAAUUCACUGAAUAGGAACAAGUGUGUUUUCAUCGAGACAGCUCGUCCGGAAACUUGCAUUGUCGGCCUAAUAAAGUUUGACGUCAAGCCUAAUAAAACGUGAGGUUAAAACGGAGAAA
rnacentral:lncRNA from 1 species